CGUGAGAAUUUGCCUUUAGGAGGGGGAUAACAAUUGGAAACGAUUGCUAAUACCCCAUAUGCUUAAGAGUGAAAUGGAUUUAUCCGCCUAAAGAAAAGCUCGCGGCUGAUUAGCUAGUUGGUAAGGUAAUGGCUUACCAAGGCGACGAUCAGUAUCUGGUUUGAGAGGACGAUCAGACACACUGGAACUGAGACACGGUCCAGACUCCUACGGGAGGCAGCAGUGGGGAAUUUUCCGCAAUGGGCGAAAGCCUGACGGAGCAAUACCGCGUGAGGGAUGAAUGCCUGUGGGUUGUAAACCUCUUUUUUCAAGAAAGAAGCUCUGACGUUACUUGAAGAAUAAGCAUCGGCUAACUCUGUGCCAGCAGCCGCGGUAAUACAGAGGAUGCAAGCGUUAUCCGGAAUCACUGGGCAUAAAGCGUCUGUAGGUGGUUUAGUAAGUCUGCUGUUAAAGACUGGGGCUUAACCCUAGGAAAGCAGUGGAAACUACUAGACUUGAGUGUGGUAGGGGUA
rnacentral:rRNA from 1 species